rnacentral:lncRNA from 1 species
GGACUGUCUUAACCACUCUUAACUAGGUUCCUGGUCUUCUUUUGAAGCUCAGGCUCCUGAAUCAGUCACAAUGUGGCUCUGGGAUGUACAGGGGGCACAGACUGUGGGCGGUCCUAGAACUCAAACAGAGGGGUCUGAACUUGGCCCAAGAGUCAUACCCCAAGGCGUGAGAGCUCCUGAAACAGGAGAGGGUUUUAUGCAAGCUGUGUUUCAUAGUGAUCAUCUUUAUCUAUGUAAAUUCAUAUUGUGGAUAACUGUUCCUCUGGGAGACCAACUGGAAAGAUUUUAAUAAUUUCAGUAAAUAUUGAAACCCUAAGCCAAGAUGGAGCUCAGGAAAAAAACAGCAACAUGUUGAGAUAAUCUAAAGGGAAGAAACCAAAAUGUUAUAGGAGUUUGAUUUUGAAAAAGAAUCAGGAGGCAUUUCUGGCCCUUACUGUCAUCUCUAGGAAAAGUUGUGUUAGAUCCAAUCCAUGCUAAUUACUUGUUCACUCCUAAUUGUGAAAAGUGUAUGGAAAGAAUGGCACACAAAGUCCUUUUCAGAAACUGAAGGCAUUGUGUUAUUAGCCAAAUCCCCUUUGAUUAAAAGAAGUACAUGUUAUUCGUCCUCAAUGUGGGAUGAACACCGAACAUUUACAAACUACCAGAAAGGAGGUCUUUAUUGCUUUACUGGCCAAUCAAGUCCUGAAAAAGCCUGAGAGGGUGGUCAGGGUUUUGAACUAAGUGCUGGAAAAAUGGCCUUGGCCUUUUCUUCCUGGAAAUGUCCCACUUGACCUUGACUGGGAGGUUGUAUGACAUGAGAAAGCACAGACACUGUGAAGACAGAGGUCAUGCCCUUGGAGCAUAAAGUCCAUGACUGUGACCUUUCACUUGUAUGUCUGGAAACUGUGCCUCUGUGAGUACAGAGCCAGCUGCUGCUCACAGCACUCAGUGCAGUCCAUGUGCCUUGCUGCAGGUCAGCCACCGUAUGUGAAAGGAUGCUGGGUGAGGACCCUGGGGGAGGGGGGAGUCUCUGACAUCACUUAAAGGACCCUAUGCCACACACCAAGGUCCACACAGCAUCUUGUGAGCAGAAAUGGGGAAAGAGGAGAGACUUCAAGGGGCUGCAAAGGUCAACACAAACAUGCAAAGCAGAAGCAUAUUUAUUUGAUUUUUUUCUAAUCAUCAGAUCUCUCUGAAGUGUAAAGGUAACAUUAAAAUUCUUAAAAGGUUCUGGUCAUAAUAAACAGUGAUAUUUUUAAACUGAGAUUUGCAUUACCAUGUAUUUGCAGUUAUAGUGUUGUUUUAAAAUUGUAUCAUAAUGGGAGUUCCUCUCGUGGCUCAGUGGUUAAUGAAUCCGACUAGGAACCAUGAGGUUGUGGGUUUGAUCCCUGGCCUUGCUCAGUGGGUUGAGGAUCUGGCAUUGCCAUGAGCUGUGGUGUAGGCUCAGAUCCUGCAUUGCUCUGGCUCUAGUGUAGGCCGGCGGCUACAGCUCCAAUUCAACCCCUAGCCUGGGAACCUCCAUAUGUCGCAGGAGCAGCCCAAGAAAUGGCAAAAAGACAAAAAAAUAAAAUAAAAUAAAAUUGUAUGAUAAUAUAUUUAGAUGGAACACAGGCUCUAUGGGAAAAUAUACUGGGAGAACUUGUUAUUAAUUUCCUUGAAAUAAAGUUUAAAAGUAUAUUAUGUAGGAGAAAUUUAGAAAGAUAGUAGAGGAGGAAGCACCAGAAUUGGUGUUCCCACCUAGGAAACAUUUACACUGGCAGAACCUGUCUAAUGCAACUAACUAGGAACUCUGGAGUCUAUUGAAGGCUUGCAACAUCCAGGGGAAGACUCCAGCAAUACAUUAUGGUUAAUUUGGGUCAAUCUCAGCUCCUAACACAGUAGCAAGUACCAAUCUCCUAUUCCCCUGCUCAGGGCAGACAGCAGUUUACAUGCUUCCUGAGCAGUUUGAACGCAGCCUGCAGGAGCCAUGGUGGGCAAAAAGGACCCUGUUCUCCAAAUAUUGGAACUCUCUGCUCUGAUCACUGAUUGCUGCUUCUUAUCUCAGAGUGCAGACAAAGAGACAGGCAGUGACCGUGCUUGUUGCCCCUCACCUCAUGGUGGAAAGCCCCUCUCUCUCUGGCUGAAGUGACAUCCAUGAGAUUUAGAGAGAUGGUGCCUUUUCCUCCUCUUUGUUUUACUCUUCCCCUUUGGGGAGACAGACAUUGAAAACUAGGAUAGUAAAGCACAAUUACAUAUAUGGAGAAAAUAAGAAAGUCACUACACAACCCCAAGAUAAGAUGUGGACUCAGAAAAGACUUGAUGAGACCUUAUAUUUACUCUCAAGGUGGUUCCCAGCACAGAGACAGACUAAAAUGUUCUCCACACACACACACACACACAGGAAAACUCUGGGGAAGGGGGAGGAUCUGACUCCCAGAGUUAUCAUAUUAUUUGAUUUAAAUGUCCACUUUUCAACCAAAAAAAAAAAAAAAUCACCAGGCAUGCAAACCAAACCAAACCAGAUAUAUAUGACUCAUGCAAAGGAAAAUAAUAAACCCACAAACACUGUCCCUGGAAAAGAUGUAAUGACAGAUCUUCUGGACAAAUACCUGAAGAAAAAUUACCUUAAAGAUGUUCAAAGAACUAAAAGAAGAUACAGAGAAAGUUGAGAAAAUAAUGUAUGCAUAAAAUGUACAUGUAAAUAAGAUAGAAAACUUGAAAAAGAAAUUAGGAACUCAAAGGUACAAUCAUUAAAAUUUAAAAUUUACUGGAAGGAUUCAAAGGUGAUUUUGAGCAGGCAGAUGAAAGCAUCGGUGAAUUCAAAGAUAAGGGAAUGGAAAUUAUCUGGUCUGAGGAAGAGACAGAAAAAAAGAGAGAUUAUAGAAAAACAAAGAAAGCCUAUGGGAGCUGUGAGAUACCAUAAAGCUGCCCAAUAUAUUCCUCCUGGUGGGAGUCCCAGAAGAAGAAAUAAAGGGACAAAGACUAGUUGAAGACAGAAUAGCUGAAAACUUGCAAAAUUUGAUGAAAGACGUCAUUGUAACCAUCCAAGAAACAAGUAAUUCCAUGUAGAAUGAACUCAAAGAGAUCCCCACUGGAACACAUCACGCUCAACCUGUCAAAAGGCCAACACAGAAAGAGUAUUUUGAAAGCAUCGAGAGAGAAGGGACUGAGUACAUCCAAGGAGUCCUUAAUAGAUUAUCAGCAGACUUCUCAUCAGAAACUUCAGAGGCCAGAAAGCAGUGAGCUAGUAUAAUCAAAGCACA